CGCUGGCGGCGUUGGAUUAGGCAUGCAAGUCGAACGGUAUCAUUCCGUUUCGGGGGUGAGAGAGUGGCGAACUGGUGAGUAACACGUAGGUUAUCUACCCUCAAGGACGGGGACAACCCAGGGAAACUUGGGCUAAUACCGGAUGUGAGCAACUUUUAGUUGUUUGAAAGGUGGCGUAAGCUGUCGCUUGGGGAUGAGCCUGCGUCCUAUUAGUUAGUUGGUGAGGUAACGGCUCACCUAGGCAAUGAUAGGUAGGCGGCCUUAACGGGUGGUCGCCCACACUGGGAUUGAGAUACGGCCCAGACUCCUACGGGAGGCAGCAGUCGAGAAUAGUCUACAAUGGUCGGAAGACUGAUAGUGCGACGCCGCGUGAACGAUGAAUCCCUUCGGGGUGUAAAGUUCUUUUAUAUGUGAGCAGUGCUUCUUAUAUUAACAGUAUGGGGAGAGAGAUAUUAGCAUAUGAAUAAGCAACGGCUAACUCCGUG
rnacentral:rRNA from 1 species